rnacentral:rRNA from 1 species
ACACCGGCAGCUCUAGUGGUAGCAGUUUUUAUUGGGCCUAAAGCGUCCGUAGCCGGUUUAAUAAGUCUCUGGUGAAAUCCUGUAGCUUAACUGUGGGAAUUGCUGGAGAUACUAUUAGACUUGAGACCGGGAGAGGUUAGAGGUACUCCCAGGGUAGAGGUGAAAUUCUGUAAUCCUGGGAGGACCGCCUGUUGCGAAGGCGUCUAACUGGAACGGUUCUGACGGUGAGGGACGAAAGUUAGGGGCGCGAACCGGAUUAGAUACCCGGGUAGUCCUAACCGUAAACGAUGCGGACUUGGUGUUGGGGUGGCUUUGAGCUGCUCCAGUGCCGAAGGGAAGCUGUUAAGUCCACCGCCUGGGAAGUACGGUCGCAAGACUGAAACUUAAAGGAAUUGGCGGGG